GUCUACGGUUAUGCUAGCCCUGAACAAGCCCUAUCCCAUCUGAUCUCCAAAGCUAAGCAGAUUAUCCUGCUUAGUACUUAGAUGGGAGACCACCUAGGCAGAUACAGUGCUGUAGAUG
rnacentral:rRNA from 1 species